rnacentral:misc_RNA from 1 species
GAUGAAGAACGUAGCGAAAUGCGAUACGGAAUGUGAAUUGCAGAAUUCAGUGAAUCAUCGAAUCUUUGAACGCAUAUUGCGCUCUCUGGUAUUCCGGAGAGCAUGCUUGUUUGAGUAUCAGUAAACACCUCAACUUCCAUAUCUUUUUUGAAAUGGGAGUUGGACUUGAGUGAUCCCAACGCUUUUCCUCACCGAAAAGUGGCGGGUUACUUGAAAUGCAGGUGCAGCUGGACUUUUCUCUGAGCUAUAAGCAUAUCUAUUUAGUCUGCCUAAAAAACAGAUUAUUACCUAUGCUGCAGCUAACAUAAAGGAGAUUAGUUCUUGUGCUGACUGAUGCAGGAUUCACAAAGACAGGCUUCGGCCGACUUUGUAAACUCGAUCUCAAAUCAAGUAAGACUACCCGCUGAACUUAAGCAUAUCAAUAAGCGGAGGA